GGCACCCAUGAGGAAAGUUUUGCCGCAUGUUCAUGCUGAAUAAAGUUCCCAAACUAUUAAGGAUAUUUUUGCCUCCGUCGUCAUUUUCCUUCGAGUUGAUCGCUGUCGAUGCUGCAAUACUCAACAGGUUAUGGGCCCAGGGCCGACUCGAAGAGGAGUUUUAUUUUUUUCUUAUGAAGAUCCGGAGCCGCAACCGAUAGCGGGCUAACGGCUAAAUAGCAUGGAUCAACGAGGAGCAAGCAGGCUGCCUCGACUCAUGUUUGACGGAGAUGAGACCAAAUAUGAACUUUGGGAAACUAAGGUGCUAGGAUAUUUGCACUUGUUGGGAUUAAAAGACACUGUUCUGAAGGAACCGAACAGUGAGGCUGAAGUAGCGGCAGACGGUAAGAAGAACGCUGACGCUUACGCCGAGUUAAUCCAAUUUUUGGACGAUAAAAGCCUCUCGCUGAUUAUGAGAGAUGCCCCUGAUAAUGGGAGAAGAGCAUUAGAAAUAUUGAGGGACUACUACGCUGGAAAGGGGAAGCCCCGAAUCAUCAACCUGUACACCAUGCUGACAUCGCUUCAGAAAAAGAGGGAAGAGACUGUCACAGACUAUGUCAUCAGAGCAGAGGCCGCCAUUACAGCACUGCGCAAUGCGGGUGAGACUUUAGGUGAUGGAUUACUGAUUGCUAUGGUUUUAAAAGGACUACCUGGAAGUUUUAAACCAUUUGCAAUACACGUUACCCACGAUAAAGACGAUAUGACAUUUGCUGAGUUCAAAACAAAGCUACGAAGUUUCGAAGACACCGAAAAGUCAUGCGCAUCGGAGUGUAGCGACAACAUAAUGAAAACAGGAGUAAGAACCGGGCGUGAGCACACGAGAUCUAGCGCACAAUGCAGAUACAAGAGCGAUGUGGACAUUGUGUGUUUCAAGUGUGGACUAAAAGGCCACCGAGCAAAAGUGUGCAGGCGGAGGACGUGGUGCAGUCAUUGCAAAAGCAACACACACAGUGAUACCACAUGUAGACAUAAAGACAAACAAGAUGGUGUGCGGAAGGUCGCAGAUGAGAGCGGCAACGGAUCCAAAGCAGAAACGCCGGAUUAUGCCUUCAGGAUUAAGGGCGCAGACAUCAAAGUCCAGCAGUCAGCAUACAGCGUUGAGGAGAAAGGCCUGUUGGUGGACACUGGGGCUACCUCACACAUCAUUAACGACAUCGCCAAGUUCAAGGGCUUCGACGACGUGUUCAGACCGGAGACACACAGCGUGGAACUGGCAGACGGUACCCAGUGCAGAGGCAUCGCCCAACAGAGGGGGGACGCAGAGGUGUUCCUGAUUGACAAUACAGGCCAGCGACGCAAAGCAACGCUGAAAGAUGCGCUGUUUAUUCCAUCAUACCCCCAGAACAUAUUCUCUGUAAAGUCAGCCACUGCAUUAGGAGCAACAGUCACCUUUAAACAAGGGCAGGACAUGUUGACCCACAAAGACGAGUGACCUCGUCGUUUCCUGGAUUCGUGAACCCACGCUACAAAGUCUGUCGACAGCCUGUUUCUAGUGAAACAGUAAAGACCAACUACGUGAAUUCGCCGUUGGCCAGCGUUUUUAGCAAGAGGUCCACGAUUCCAGGGAGCGAGGAGGAUUCUCUCCGACCGGCAUUUUCAUCUGAACCAGGUGAAUAUAAACACUCAAGAACACAUUGCGGCUAAAAUCGGUUUUUAGGUUGACACGGUUCUUAAGAGACUCGUCCCUUAGGGACUGGAAGUCGGGAAAAGACUCGUCCUUUAAGGACUGGAAGUCAGGGAUCUCACUCUUACGAGUGAAAGGACUCGCCUGUAAGACGGAACUGGCAGUCCCCUGGGGGACUCGUUCCGCAAUUAAAAGGCUGGAAGUCAGGGAUCUCACUCUCACGAGUGAAUGAAAAUAAAGGGAUCUCACUCUCACGAGUGAAUGAAAAUAAAGGGAUCUCACUCUCGCGAGUGAAUGAAAAUAAAGAACGUGUCAAUUAAAAUAGGAUUAUAGUACCGCGUGUGAAGUUUAUGUGUUGUUGAGGAGUGAGUGACCUUUUGAAUAGAAACAACAGGUUUCUGCACCACUCUUACUGUUUCCUGUGUCGACCGAUGUACUGGUGAGAAGGGGUCAAAGGUUGCGCUUCAACGCAUAAAAUUAAGGCCGCCCUGGGUCUAGACCAGGGUAGAAGGCUGCCUUAAUAACCUCCCCCGACUCUAAUAUCAGCGAAGGUCACACAGAGUGUAUGUUGGCAGUAUUAGUAAAUAAGAGAAAAACAAGGUGUUUCUAAAUACAAUAAAUCGAAAUAAAUUAUAAGCAAUUUACAAUAAAAUAUUAUUGAUAACUCUAAGCCCAAAAAAUAGGCAAAUAUUUAAACUAAUGACGUGCAUAGAGGCACUUGACCUGUUUGAAAACUGUCAUCCUAAUAUGAGCCAUUGUUGAGAUAUAGAGCACACCUGUGAAAACAACUAUUAUGCUGAACCUUGUAUGAAGCGGCUGAAAACUACAUGAUGGAGAAGCUGAAAAUGUAAGUCUUUGCCACUGUGGGCAAAGCACACAACCACUGUGUGAGGUUGUGUUGCUGUCUCUUCUGAGCUGAUGAGCAAGCUACACAUUAUCAGAUCAGGAGCUGGCUGAGAACUCAUCAAAGAAAGGGGAAGAGAACUAUGAUAACUCGAGUAUGUAGCGUAUCCGUGAGUUCAGCUUCUUCUUUCAGAUGCGCAGCAGUUUUCCUGGAUCUUGAUUCAUGUGUGUAGAGUGUUCAUAGCAUCAGCAUCAUGUUUGUGUUUAUUUGUUUUGUUGGGUUGAAAAAUAAUUAAAUAAACUUGUGAUCAUGCUUAUGGAUCACCAUGGCACAUAUCAUCAGCCAUAUGAUUUAUUUAUGCAGAUGAAAAGAGUGAGUGUGAAUGUGCCUGACGUCACAGUGUGUGUGUGUGCUGUGUAAAAGUAAUUGUCUCCAAUUGUGAGAGCGGUGAUUCUGCAGGUCACCAGUUAUAAAAAAAAAAAAAGGAGUAAAAAAAGAGACGAAGUUUGUAUUGUAGAUGAAAACAAUAAUAAAUAAACUUUCUGCUUUCAAGAAAGGAGAGUUCACAAAAAACAGAGAGAGAGUUCUGUGUGUCGGUUAAGUAAUGAGAAUAAUGAUCAAAAUGUCUCAGUGUGUCACUUGCAGGUGAGGAGCAGACCCGGAUCAAUUUCCCAUAUGCAGCGGUCGGAAGGAAAUUAUAGUUUAACAUCAUUGGAAACAUUCGGGCCAAGUUUUUGGCUAUUUACAGCACCAUGUGUCCCUCAUCCUCACAAGCGAGCUCUCACUCCUCCCUGAAGACAAGGAAUGCAGCUCCAAAGAGCAAUAACAUGGCAGAUAAAGAGACAGCAGCAAAGUCCUGAGCAAAGAGACCCAGCAAGCAGCAGCAGUGUGGACAAACAGCAUCGGAGAAGAAGAGCAAACCAUCAUCCUGACUGGAUGAAUGACACUGUGUUUCCAACAAGCUGCAAAGUCACUGUGCUUGUGAAAAGAACGUUUGAGGAGAACUGAGGAGACUGUUGGGGUUUGACAUUUGCCACUUUCGGAGUAAAAUGGCAAGAAGAGACCGUGGGACACAGGACAAAGCUGAAGAAGAACUGCCGGCUGUUGGACUGUUGAAGUGGGAGAGGACAACAGAGUGAGAGGAGGUAAGGACACAGAGGAAAGCUGGUGUUUAAUGUGGGAAAUCAAAAUUUGGGUUAGCAAACCUGGGGAAAAGAAAACUGACUGCUUAAGUGGAAAAUUGUGAAGGAAUCUGAAACACUGCAAAAAGAAACAUAUACAAAAUCACACACACAAGCAGAACAUGCAUUAACCCUACUAACACAAACACAAGAGAGCUCAUGAAGAUUAGACACCAUCUUGAGCAUGUGAGUCUGUUUAUCAUCUUGUCCAAGUCACCUCGUGUGAUGCAAAGAUCAGUGGACUCAUAGCACAUUAGUUGAAAAUGAUGAUCAAAUAAUAGCAGAGAAGUGUGUAGGAAAGGCAGCUUUAAGAACAUGCCCUGCUGGAGAUGCAGCUCCACAGACAUUGAUUAAACCUGCCUAAUAACAAACACACAUGCAAUGAAGAUCAGCUUGUUAUCUCUCAUCAGUGUUAAAAUAGUGUAAAUUUAACAGACACUUGUUAUCAAAUGCUUAAUUUAUCCAAUGCUGACAGUUAACUAUGUUGCAGGACAACAGUUUAAUUUUUGUGGGAAAAAAGAUUCUGGUUUGACCAACCAGUGAUCAGACAAUAAAUUUAGUUGGUAAUAUAGUAAAUUGGGAGAUGCUUUCUGCCUGAUUGAUGCAGCACAAAAUAUUUUACUGUAUGAGGGGAAAUUCUAUUUUUGUGAUAAUAUUUUGAACAUGCAUUUCUGUUGUCCUGUCAUCUUAGUGGGUUAAUAACUGAUAUGCAAAUUAGUUGAUGGUUCUUAGACUAAUGAAAGGUGAUUGAAUUCUAGCACGAGUGAAUGGGAUGUGAUGGAGUUUGUUAGAGUGGAGACUCUAAAACACUGAGUUUCCUGUUGUGAUGUGCGAGUGAAUCCUGCACCCAGAUACACAACUCUCUGAAUACAUGAGAACAAACUUCUUUUGCGAAAUGCAUGACAACAUGUCACAUGUUUAAGAUGAAGGGGAAAAAGGAAAACUAAAUAAAAUUUGUGGCCUAAAUGAGUAAAAAGUACAGUCCUGGGGAUUAAAUUCAUAGCUAAUGAGACAUGAGGCUUAUGUUGUGUGUUGUGCGGUUAAUGGUUGGUUUGGAGUUUAUCUAGCUGAUGAUUUUUCUUUUGUUGUGAAGUUGAGCCUGCCAAUUAGUAUGAUGGUUUGAUAAAUCAUGCUAAUGGUAUGAUUUACCCUCCUGAGAUGAGGAAUAUGUGUCAUGACUUGACGAGGCCUUUUUAUUUUGAUACUUUCACAGUGCACUGAAAGUUUUGUUUGAUGAUCUCUGUUUGAGCAGAUCUGCACGAUUAGAACAGAAGCGCUAUACGACGCGUCGUCGAGAAAAUUGUUGCAAGUGAGUUUCUCCACAUUAAAAUGGGCUCAGGAGGAAGUCACUUAUCUGGGACAAUUAGAAAAUAAGUUCCUGUCCAAAAGGAUUCAACGAGAAAAUCCAGUUUAAAUUCUUUUCUUUUUGAAAUGACGUCAUUUUGCUGAGAAGUGGAAAUGAAAAUGCGACAAUAAUUCCCACUGUCAGCAAAGAACGAAUGAAUGCAUGAAUGAAUGAGGGAGAGAAAAUAAAACUGACUGACUGGUAAAAGCGGACAGAAGCUGACAGACUGACUGACAUCACUGUGCGAAGUUAACCCCCACCUGACAAAGGUGCAGAUGAAUCUAUGUGUGUUUCUUUUUACAGGAGCAGAAAGAUGACAGCAACAUUCGAGGUUGCAUGAUGAUUUAACCUUUUAAAUGCCACUUUCUGUGUCUGUGCAUCUACCAGGGGUGUCAUUCACUACCUUGUGUUGUUCACAGAGGUGACUGUGAGAAAGUGUGUAUACACCUGCGCAGCGCUAACAUUUCUACAGCAUUACAGUUCUUCAUGUGAUUUGAUCAUGUGAUUUAUACCAGGAUAGCUGGUUGAUGUCUUCUACUACAGGAUUUCUGGGUUCACGUGUGAAGAAAACUGCGUUUACAGGUUAUGAGUUGGUGAUGCUGUUACACUGUGUUGUUGGGAAAAUGUUAAAGGUUACUUUGACGAUGUGAAUAACAUGUAAAACAUUCCCUGUGUUGAAACUAGUGCCACUUCUGUCCACAGCUAUGGUCUUUAUGGUCGUUUUAUAGCACCUCUGGACCCUGUCAAUUUGUGCCUGACCACCAGGAUUGUCCAUGUGUGUUGCUAAUGUUUGUUUGUCUAAGAGUGCAUGUAGAGGAUUCAGCAGAGACGGACAAGUAACAUGAGAAAGCAACUAAGAGAUGCAGUGUUUGUGGAAUAGUUUGAUAUGGGGCUCAUUAGCUGGCCACUACUGAGCUCCUAGUGUUAAAUACAUGGAGUGACUUUGCUUCAGGGAAGUCACCAAUUACAUUAAUGUUAACUGAGUACAUGGGAUGAUCCAUGUCUGAGGCAAAUUAUGGCAAUAAUUGUAGUUUACUGAUUUGAGAAAACCUGCACAUGAUUCUUGUCCUGUUGAUGCUGAGUGCUUUAUUACUCUAAUGAUACAAUUGUUUAUAAGUGUGAAGUUUGAUUUUACUUCCAGAUCUUGUUUUCCAGGCCAUGAUGGUGUGUAUGCAGGCUCCAGGCGGAGCCAGAUGUGAAGCAAACUUAUUAUGCAAAACACACUAACAUCUUUUAUUGCAGGGUUAUAGGUCCGGGGUGGUGCUGCUCCAGAGGGGGAGAUGCCCUGAUGUUGCCUGGGACAUGAUCUAGCUAACCUUUUUCUUUUAGACAGAAAUCUAGGUUUGAUGAGUUGACUCAUGGGAGUGUCCAUGCGUCAAGAGGAGGGGUCCAGAAUUACAGAGUUACAUGAAACUAUGUUUUCCAUGUUUUCUGAACUAUGUUUUUAUGAUUUUUGUGUGAUCUUUGUGAUUAACAGUUCAGACGGGUAUUAAACCUAUGCAAGUGGUGCAUCUGUGUUCAGAUGAGGCUUUGAUGGUCCAUAAAUGAAGCUCACUGAACUAAAGAAUGUGGUUUGAUGAUGCUUUACAUGCUUUCAAAAUAGGAGUUUUUCCUCCUAGCAAGGAAAUACAGGUGCAGCAGUCAGAGUAUUGCUGAAAGGAAUCUCCUGAGAAAUCUUCUGAGGCCCAGUGAGAAGCAACCCAUUCCAGGCAUAGCUGACAGUCCGGGCAGUGGUUGAGGUCAAAGGUCGAGCUGUUUGGGGCCCAUCAUGAGAUCAGACGUCGGAGCCACAGCAAGGACCACGGUUGCUGCGAAGGAUGAGAGCUGUGCCAAGGGGCUUUCCAGAGGCCAACAGAGGAGAUUGUGGACAACAGACGGGCACCUGAAGGAUGAGGGGAGCGUGCCAAGCUCCACCGACAGCGCAGGGGGAGUCCAAGGAUGGCAUCAUGAUUCUGUGAAAAGCACAGGAACCAGAAGCUAUGGUGGUGAUGACAGCAGUUUCCUGUGAACAUCAUCCAAUGCUGUGUCACUGUACUGUGCAUACGAUGACACUCUGAAGACUGCUGGGAUCAUAACAGCAGUAAGAUAACUGGAUCCAGCACCCUUUCCACAGAGGGUUUUCCUGCAGAGGAUGGACAAUGGAGGAGUCAUAUGUAUCCCC
ensembl:lncRNA